GCCGUCAAUGUCUAAUAGCUGCAUAUCUGGUUCAUUAGACCUUGCCUUUCUGCACUGGCCAGCUGUGUCUUUGGUGGAGGAUAACUUGAAAUUUUUCAAGUGUUAUCUCCCUCUAAAUUGUGGUGUCUUGGGUAAGAUUAUGCAUGUCACAUGAGAAGUAGUCUCAUGUGGAACUCGUGUUGGUUCGUAUUUGGUGAUUUCUAAGCAGUCUUCCCUGCUUUAAUGCCCUAUAAAGAUGGUACAACUUCGCAGCCACCAUUGUGGCAGAUUGGCAGGAGAAUGCCAUGUGAAGCACUUUGAAGAAAAUUUCAGAUUUUAGAAGCAAGGUGGCCUGGUGUAACACAGUUGUCCGUCUGAGUUCAAUUCUCAGUAUCAUGAGAAGCACUGCCACUGCCCACAAGGAGUCUGUAUCACAAGUUUACUACCAAUGCAAUCAGCUCACUUUUGCACAGGUUGCAUUUGGUUUAGAAGAUCUUACCUCAGCAUACAGGAAUAUCAGAAGUAUCAAACAUCCACAAUAUAGGAAAUUCUUGAUUUCGUCAAUGACAUCUGCCGAUCACCUCUUCCUUUCUGGUCUGAGAAUUUCUUUGUUUGAUAAUAAGUUAAGAAUGUAGCAUUCUUAUUAAAGAGAGGUCAAUUCCUAAAUAAGGUUCUCUGUGAUAUACCUUUUACAUUACAAAUGAUAUUUAGUCUCGGGUAAUGGGUAUGUCCUAGGUAAAUUGGUAAAUCAAAUUUGUUGGUCCAAAAAAAUUCCUAGUCCUAUUAUAAAGGAAUUUUUUUA